GUCGUGCACCGCACGGGCGCGAUAGUCGUCGUCGCGGUUGCCGACGACGACGCGCACGCGAGAGUCGCGCAGGUUCUGGGCCUGCGCGCAACCC
rnacentral:tRNA from 1 species